CCUGCUGGCUAAGACCGGCGUGUUUGCGAGACUGAGGCGAGUGUAACUAGAAGCGACGACUGAACUACUCCAAGUACAAAGGGCGCUGAAACCGGGAGAGUGUUUAAGGCAACAACAUGGGAUGUACACUUUUAUAUUACCUGUUGAUUGCAAGUUUUUCUAUCAGAGUUUAUGGACUGACAAUGGAAUCAACCGAUACAAUUUCUCUCGAGAAAGUCAGUGGUGAAACUGCUGUAAUGGAUUGCAAAUUUACAACUGCAUCAAGCGACAUAGGACAAUUAGGGAUAGAGUGGGUACUCCUACCACCUGAUGUUCAAAGUAAGGAUACAAUGCUGCUUAUGUACUCUGCGGGCAUGGUUUAUGACAAGUACUAUGACCCAGUAAUAGGUCGCAUUCACUUGAGCUCCCAAGAUCCCGCAAGUGGCGAUGCUUCAGUAGAAUUAACCAAUUUGAAACCUACAGACUCUGGGACUUAUCAAUGCAGAGUAAAGAAGAUUCCAGGAAACGGAAACAGAAAAAUUACCUUGAAUGUGAUAGUAAAGCCAUCGACCCCAAGAUGCUACAUUGAGGGAACACCAGAGAACACUCAGGAUAUUGCUCUUAAAUGCUUAUCGAGUGAAGGUACAGCGCCAAUGUCAUAUUCGUGGUCAAAAAUUACUGACACAAAAACUCUGCCUCAGAAUGCCGUUUUGGACAAUGGAGCUUUAUUUGUAAAAAAUUUAACAGAUGGUAAUUCUGGAACUUACCAGUGUGUGGUAACAAAUAGAGCGGGCACAGACCAGUGUAUUGUGAACCUAUCUGUAGUUCCACCAAAAAACACCUCUGGUGUAAUAGCUGGUGCAAUUAUUGGGACUCUUCUGGCUUUACUUGCCCUUGCAAUAAUCCUCAUUUGCUGGUACAGAACACGUAACAAAAAAAAAUAUGAGAAGGAAAUUUCUCAUGAAAUCAAAGAAGAUGUUCCACCUCCCAAGAGCCGUGCAUCAACUGCCCGGAGCUUUACUAGUGUUGGCAGUAAUCGCUCAUCCUUGGGUUCCAUGUCACCAUCCAACCUACAUGAAUAUUCCCUCAAGCCUCACUAUGACAAAAUUCCUUCUGAAGAAUAUGAGCGCCCUCCAAGUCAAGCUCCAAAUCUUCCAUCGGCCAAGGUAGCAGGUCCCAACCUUAGCAGAGCGGGUGCAGUUCCAGUGAUGAUUCCAGCACAAAGCAGGGAUGGGUCCAUAGUUUAGAACAUUUUGAAAAAUGUAUACUCCUUUACCUGCCAAUGGAAGCCUGACAGUUGUCUGAUAUCUGCACCAAACCAGGCCAUCUUGAAAAAUGAAGAACAAUGGACAUUUAGAAGUGUGUCUUGUAGAAAUGUAUCUUUUUAUGAAAAAUGUGAGAAUUUUUUUCUAUCUGCUAAACAAUUAAUGGUCCUCAAGAUUUGCACAUAUUGUACUGGGAGUUUAAUUUUUCUUCUGAUUUGAUUUUUUUUUUGAUAUGACAGCUUUUAUGUAGACUCAUUACAGCACUGUAAAGUUGUUUGUUGAAGGAUUAAAAAAUUGGCAGCUACUGUCCCUUGACAGAUGUUGCACUUUCACAUCACAUCAGAAAAUCCAAAAAUGUUUUUCGGUGUUAGUAUAAGUUCAUUGACAACAUUGUGUAAGAGUUAAAAUGGAGGACUUAAGUAACAUAAUUACACACUUGUUGCAUAUACCCAUUGUCUUUUCUUUUUCUGCACCCACAUUUUCAGUUAUCAGGUUGCAGCUUGAGUCUAACUGAGCAGCUUCACAUGCAAUGCAGGAGCCAAACCUGGAAGCCAAUCCAUUACAGGAUCCACAUUCCUUCAAACGGGUCCGGUUUACAAAUGGGUGUCACACAGACAGUACUCUUGCUGAAGCCAGACAUACAGUAUAACAUACACACAAGGAGACAACCAUGAGAGAAUUUUGACUAAAACUGGAUGGGAACAAUUAGAUGGCUCACUGAGUGUAACAUUCCUAAACCAAUCCAAUGUCUCAUGAAAGUGGUGCUCAGAGUAGAGGUGAUGAUUUUGAACUGCAAAGGUCAGAGGUGUUCUCGCUAACCUGGUCUGACAGACAGCAAGCUUCUGUUUGCAAUAGUCGAAAAAAAAAAUUACUAAACAUAUAAACGUGUGUCACAUAUGCAGAGAGCACAUUGCACAUUACAAAAAUAAACAUAACCUGAUGCAAGGGAAAAACCUUUCUGUAACAUCAGAUUAAUGGACGAAUGGUAAAUGUGAACAAUACAUUGUCGCUGGUGAUGUGAACUGCAAAAUAUGAACUUCAAAAUAAGCAUUUGAAGUAGAUGGUGUGUCAUGCUCUGUCAAAAGGACUGCCGUCAAGAGAUCUGAUAACGAAGCACCACAGGAGAUGCAGAUUUCAGUGCAUAAAACACCAGAAUCAACAAAUCUGCUUAACAACACCAGUAAAGCACAGACAAGACUGCACAGCACCCACCUUCUGACUGCUCAUCCAAACGAUUUACUACAGAAAUUAAACAUCACUGUCUAAUUAGAAAAUCAAACAUGCCAUAACAAAUUAUCAACAGCGUUUUAAUAUGUUGUAUACCCAUAGAAACUCGAUUUGCUGUUGUUACGUCACAUAAUAUCAUAGCAGACAAAUGUGUGGAGCCCAGUAGCUGCGGUGGUCUAUGUGCGUGUCUAUCUGUCUGCACAGUCACCGCACUCAUUAUAGCAUGUACUGUAAAUUAGUUGUUAAGCUUCAGUUACCUUAUGCUACUGAGCUCCUCAAUGGAUAAAAACAAUUUUAGCCUUUCAUUUUCUCUCAGUGUCAAGUUUCUUUUGGUCAGAAUCAUUUGCUGUCUCCUUGAAACCCCAGCAGCAGUUUAAAACUCACAGACUGGAGAUAUUGAGGGUUGGUGUUUUAGGAAGACGUCCUGUGUGUGCGGCCUUUGAAGCGUAAGAUUUCACCGCUAUUCACUACACCCUUUUUGCUCCUCCAUGCAUGUAUUCUUAUUCAGAGAAUCACGUCUGGCUCAGCAAGACUAUACAGACAGUGACAGGGAUAGCAAUCAAAGAUACAGAGUUGAACGGCCUUUUAGUAUACAAACAGCAAAUUGCCGUUUCAUUUGACAUUUAUUAGUGCUUUAGUUGUAUGUUUUUAAAGCCGUGUUUGUAUUUGAAGGUCCUGAGGGAUGUAUAGGGCUUCACUUAAUGCAGUCAAGAGCUACACUUUUGAAAUAAAUCACUGCUCUUCAUAUUGCAUAACCAAAGUGUGAAACGUUUAAAUGGAAUUCACAGUCACGUGUGAGAAGUCCGUAUUAAAUGCAUGUCUUCAAGUCUGACAAGCAUUUGAGCACCACCCAGUCUGGCAGCAAGGCUUCAUUCACCUCUUUAAAACAUUUUAGAAUGCAUUGUGGACGCAGCGACCACAGGUCACCCAUUCACAUUGGGCUUUCAUAUACAUUACCCAGAGUUCGUAUUUAUCGUUAUGUCGUCUUCACAAAUUAAUAAAUCAUCAUAUGAUCAGUGAUCUGCAUUGAGAAUUCAUUGUUGAUAAACUGACAAAAAAUGUGAAUGGCCCUUGGUGAGCUUGAAUCUUCUGUGUCUAACUCUGGCUGCUGGGCAGAGCGUCUCCUGUCCUCAUUACUCCUGCUCAUGUCACCAGGUAGUGUGCGUGUGGACCAAGAGCCUGGAGAGCAUUUUGACUCGUCCAACUUGUAGAUUUCACUUGAAGUAGAUGGCUCAAAAUGUCUUUGUAGGGUUCAGACUCAACCCACAGGGCUAUGAUGAACACUACCUCCUUUAAAUGGAUUACCCGCACAUGUUCAACAAUCUAUAUUACUAAACCACAGUUUUAAUUUAUUCACGGCCGCACCGAGACGCAUGCGCACUGCGUUCAAACUCAGCGGCUUCCCACAGUCAGUAGGUGACGCCCACUUCAGACACACCAGAAGCAAACACGUCACAGCUCCACAAUGAAAGGGCUCAACUAACGGAAAUACAAAACGAGCCCGUAUGGAUAAACACAAUGAACGAACGCGCCCACAACGCGCUUUGCCCGUAUGAAUAACAACAAUGAACGAAGGCACCCACACAAAGAAACCGCUGUAGUACAAAUGCGCAGCGGCGCCCCAGAGUCAAACGCAGCGGCUUCCCAGAGUGUGCACGCCAGGUUCUACAGCCGCCCGGAAGCGACCGCCCACACCACCGCAUAUACGACGACACAGCCAUAAAAAAACAAAAACGAGACUGCAUGAAGAAAGACAAUAACAGAAGCGCGUUGAAAUGAACUGUCCCAGGAUGCACCCAACCUCCAUGAUAUUUCAUCACGCAGCGGCUUCCCACCGAGGUGCAUACGUACUGCGCCGUGGCGCACGCCCCAGAGUGAAACGCAGCGGCUUCCCAGAGUCAGUAGGUGGCGCCCACACAACACAACCUGUACACUACACUUGCUCUAAUCCACUGUGCCAGUAAUAUAGAUCACAUAACGGUCACAGACUCAAACCCAACGGCUUCCCAGACUCAGUGGCUGGCACACGAACACCACAACCUAUAAACUAAACUUGCUGUGCUCCACUCUGCUAGCAGUCAGUGUCAGCAAAGGCAACAGAAUCACGUCUCCACAAAACAAAACCGCCUUAGUACAGAUAUGCUUAUUUAAUUAAAUGACAUUUCCCCAGACGCACCCACCCUCCAUGAUAUGUCAUCCAUCCAAAUAUCGGACGGAACAGAAACUGAGUGCCAUUCUUGGAUUUACGAUUCUCUAGAGAAUCACAGGCUUACUUUUGAAUUUUAUAUCAUUCACUAUACAACCAUUUUGAAAUGUGAAAGGUUUACACAAGAUUCUGGAUAUUAUAGACACUUAUCCACAUUGUAAUCCAUCUUCAAAAGCAGAUAAUCACCUUUCACAUAAAGGUAGUUAAUUUAGAAAAUAAAUACAAACCAUUACAUUAAAAAAACCACAGCAUGAUACAAGUUUAAGAAGUGUGCAUCUCACUUGUGUUUGCUCUGUGUCCGUUCUUGGCUGGGUUUGGCUACACCAGAAAUGAGGAACAGGCUCCAUGAUGGAUGCGUCUGCCCACUCUCAUCUGAUUAUGGUCCAAACGUUCUCAGUCACUACAGCUGGGAGUCAAAUUUAACAACCUGACAUGAGGAUCCAGGGACAAUAAAUAAAUAAAGGACAUGAAGACGAAGAAAAGGCAGUUGUUACAAUUCAUGCGGCAGUAGUCCAGAUUGGGUCAUUGAAAUUUACAAAACACAAUCUGCAUUUCCAACUUUCCAGCAUCACAACCAUACACCCUAAAAUCUUGGGAGUGUCAUGCCACCUUCAUGCCGAUACUAUGGAAUUUAAAAAAUGUUUUACAUAUUAUCUUUUAAGUCUGCGACUUUGUUGUAAAGUGGGAUUUUCAGCACAUUCUGUCUAAUGUGAAUAUUUAAGCGUGCGUAGCAAUAACAUUUUUAUUUUUCUGUUGGGGUGAAUGCAUUAGCUUCUGUAGCAAUAACUCUUCUCUCAGCAGAAGACUACUGUUGUGAAUUCUUAGUUCAGAUUUGUUAUUAUUUGAUUCUGUUUUCAUUAGCUUUGUUGUACAUUUUGAACUAAAUUGAUGUAUUUGUUUACAUAUGUAACACAGUAACUGAUAAAUGACACCAUUAAAAAUCUCCUUUUAACAC